CCUUCGGGUACAAUUGAGACAGGUGGUGCAUGGUUGUCGUCAGCUCGUGUCGUGAGAUGUUGGGUUAAGUCCCGCAACGAGCGCAACCCUUGUGUUUAGUUGCAAACAGGUCAAGCUGUGCACUCUAGACAGACUGCCGUGGACAACACGGAGGAAGGUGGGGAUGACGUCAAAUCAUCAUGCCCCUUAUGAUCUGGGCUACACACGUGCUACAAUGGCCGGUACAACGGGCAGCGAAGGAGCGAUCCGGAGCGAAUCCUAAAAAGCCGGUCCCAGUUCGGAUUGCAGGCUGAAACUCGCCUACAUGAAGUUGGAGUUGCUAGUAAUCGCGAAUCAGAAUGUCGCGGUGAAUACGUUCCCGGGCCUU
rnacentral:rRNA from 1 species